AUUUUUGACAUGUCUGUCUACAGUGUAUACACACACACGUACACAUUAAAAGCACACUCAUAGCAGCUUCCAGUAACACAACACUAUGUGCUUUAUCCUCCGUUAUCUCCAGCUUCCUUUUUGCCCUUUGGUGAAACAUUUUUCUCGGCAUGCAUGAUCUCAUUUAACUUUGAUUUCCUUUCUCCAGGAUUGCAUUCUAGAUGUUUCCAAUUUCCAGGCCAUUCCCCAAUUUUCAACUCCAAUGAGAGACAACACAUGCUGAAUUGGCUGUUUACGUAAAGUUUGACAGAUGACACCUUCUCAUUACGGUGGAUUUGAAACAGAGUCAACUGAGAACCCACAUUUGUUUUGGCGACUACUACAGGACAGACCACACAUACUGACUCAUGCUCCUCACUGUCUUGAGCAACAAACAACAAUGUGCACAAAAGGCCCCUGCACUUCAGAUGUGACCGAGGAGUG
rnacentral:lncRNA from 8 species